GCGGUCUCUCCGGGGCGGAAGCGGUCUCUCCGGGGCGGAAGCGGUCUCCGUCCCGCCUCUCUGCUUUCUCAGUGUUCCCAGUUACUAACUGCCAUUUCCCUGUUGCCAGAGCUUGCACUCUUUGUAUAUAAAUCGCAGAAAUGGAGAACCUGUGCCCUGGGGUCACAAAGAACACUGGGCUGAAAGACGAGGUUUACCACUCCUGGGCCUGUGACCUGCGGCGCAUUCCUUAACCUUGCCAAGCUUCCAUCUCCUCAUCUGAACACUGGAGGCCAUUCCACCUCACCGCCCAUGGUCGAAUGAAAACCAAAGUCACUUGCCUGUGAACCAUGGAAAAAAUUGGCAAAUUGAAUGGAUGUUUGUCCAAAGUCAGACUCAGCACCUUUAUCCAGAAACUCUAAGAAAAAAAAAAAAAAAAGAUGAAGUUUGUCUCAGGAAUUUCAUGAAGACCGCAAUGGCAGCAUACUCUCUGGGUCUAUGGUUCUGAUCUAGUCAACAGUGUCUUCAGAAGGCAGUUCUGAGCUCGUCUUGUGGCCUUAUGAUUCUAGUUGCUCGUUUUAGUUAAUCAUCUGCUUCUGUUAUUUAACACAAACCAGAAUCCACUUUGGGAGAAGGCAAUGGCACCCCACUCCAGCACUCUUGCCUGGAAAAUCGCAUGGAUGGAGGAGCCUGGUGGGCUGCAGUCCAUGGGGUCAUGAAGAGUCGGACACGACUGAGCGGCUUAGCAGCAGCAGCAGCAGGAGCAGCAGAAUCCAUUUUGCUGAUGAACCAGAACCAUCAGCGCUGCCAUUCUUGCUCACUUCCGUGUUUCCUGCCUUAUUUUCUUUUAUUCAUUUUCAACGAGAAGGUAACUCAUAUGCGGGUUUUUUCAACUGCCGAAAGGUACCUGACAUUAAAAAUCUCAGAACGUUUCAGAGAACAAUGACGACAGAUAAUUUCCUACCAUUCAGGUGUUAAAAAAAGAACUAAUCAAUCCAAGCUUGCAAGGUGGGAUGAGCUUGUCUCUGUAGAGAAUGAUGCUGUGGGGAGCAGAGAACUUCCAGAAGGGAAUAAGGAGCAACUCUUGCAAUGUGAGAAUAGAACGGCUUUAUCCUUAACAGACAUACAAUAUAAUUGGAUGUAAUAGGUAUUUGUUGGAUAAACAGUGCCUGACACUGUUCUGACGGUUGAUUUGGGACUUAACUAGGCUCUUUUCUCAAGGGGGCUUCCCAAGUGGUGCUAGUAGUAAAGAACCCCCCCUGCCAAUGCAGGAGGCAAAAGAGAAGUGGCUUCCAUCCCUGGAUCUGGAAGAUUCCCUGGAGGAGGGCAUGGCAACCCACUCCAGCAUUCUUGUCUGGAGAAGCCCAUGGACAGAGGAGCCUGGAGGGCUACAGUCCAUGGGGUUACAAGAGAGUCAGGCAAGACUGCAGUGACUUGACAUGCACAGACUUCUUUUUGGAGUUUCCUUUUUAAUAGGAGACUACCCUCAUUUUCUUGCCGUGUGGACACCCCAACACAGACACUCAUAAAACCAACAGAAGAGAGUUUGCUGGUAGGACCAACGUGACAAUCCUUUCUGACAAAAUCAGGGGGUGACACCCCAGCACCCUUGACACAGCCCGUCAGAAGCCAGUCUUGCCCGUCCUUCCAGGGGGUUAUUUACAGAUGUGACUCACAGGAGGUGGGAAGCACAGAGGCCACCUCCGUGUCUCAGCUCCACAGCUGCCAGGGUCCAGCCCCGGUGGAUCCAGGGUGAUUCGAAGGUGGGGGGACGGAGUCGGCGUCUUUGGAAAAAUACAUAUUUAAUCACAGAUAGAGAGAGAUUAGAAACAGAUAGUGUAGUAGAAAGAUUAGUGGAGAAAAAGAGGCUGAAUAACUUGGAUUACGUGGAAUAGUAUCCAUGCUCCAGAUGGGAAUUCAGCCAGAAAAACGGGAGCAAGAAAGAAGCGACAUGGGGGAAUCAGUCUUUCCGGAAACUGAUCCCAUUUCUUUAUUUUUGGGUUUGCUUAUAUACCUUUUGUUACACAUAGGGAUGAAUACAGAGUCACGCGGGGUCAGCAGUCCUGACCUUUAUCAAAAUCAGGUGCUUCACAUAAAUGUAUAAAAAAAAAGGUCUUAGGAAUAUUACAUCAUCUUCUGGCCAUGAGUGAGACCUGCUGACAUUUUAUGAUCCUUUCUUUCUGAUAACCAAAAACUUAUUUUUCCAAGGGUGUUUUUUCUUAAACCAGGCACCACCCUCCAAAUAAAGUUACAUUCCUAUAGGGUGAGGGUGUAGUGAGUUACAAUCAAGAAAGGAAUUUAUUUAACCCAAGGUUAACAUGAUUAGUCUUAAAGGUUAAUACUUAUUUCUCCUAUAUGCUUAAAGGUUAAUACUUAUUUCUUCCUAUAUGCUAGUUAUAUUCAUUAUAAGAGUAGGGAACAUGGAGAUUUAGCAGCAAACA
ensembl:lncRNA